GGGUGCGAGCGUUAAUCGGAAUUACUGGGCGUAAAGCGUGCGCAGGCGGUUUUGUAAGACAGAGGUGAAAUCCCCGGGCUCAACCUGGGAACUGCCUUUGUGACUGCAAGGCUAGAGUACGGCAGAGGGGGAUGGAAUUCCGCGUGUAGCAGUGAAAUGCGUAGAUAUGCGGAGGAACACCGAUGGCGAAGGCAAUCCCCUGGGCCUGUACUGACGCUCAUGCACGVVMGCGUGGGGAGCAAACAGGAUUAGAUACCCUGGUAGUCCACGCCCBVNMCGAUGUCAACUGGUUGUUGGGUCUUAACUGA
rnacentral:rRNA from 1 species